GGUGAACGCUAGCGGGAGGCCUAACACAUGCAAGUCGAGCGGUAGAGCUUUUUCGGAUACUUGAGAGCGGCGCACGGGUGCGUAACACGUGUGCAACCUACCUUUAUCAGUUUUUUGGCCUUGCGAAAGGAGGGUUAAUACCCCAUAUUAUACUGAUGGGCAUCAAUUAUUAUCGAAAACUCCGCUGACUAGAGGUGGGUACGCGCGAGAUUGGCUAGUUGGUUAGGUAACGGCUAACCAAGUCAAUGAUCUUUAGGGGUCCUGAGAGGGAGAUCCCCCAGACUGGUACUGAGGCACGGACCAGACUCCUACGGGAGGCAGCAGUGAGGUAUACUAGACAAUGGGUGAGAGUCUGAUCCAGCCAUCCCGGGUGAAGGAUGACGGUCCUAUGGAUUGUAAACUUCUGUUGUACAGGGAUAAACCUACCCUCGUGAGGGUAGCUGAAGGUACUGUACGAAUAAGCACCGGCUAACUCCGUG
rnacentral:rRNA from 1 species